rnacentral:rRNA from 1 species
CUGCAGUAACGAAUAUUCCGCAAUGCGCGAAAGCGUGACGGAGCAAUGCCGCGUGCAGGAUGAAGCCCCUCGGGGUGUAAACUGCUGUCAGAAGCCAGAACAACCGAUCAGCUUCAGAGGAAGGACCGGCUAACUUCGUGCCAGCAGCCGCGGUAAUACGAAGGGUCCGAGCGUUAAGCGGAGUCACUGGGCUUAAAGCGUGCGCAGGCGGACUGGUAAGCGUCUUGUGAAAUCCCACCGCUCAACGGUGGAACUGCUUGGCGAACUACCAGUCUUGAGGUCGGCAGGGGCUGCCAGAACUCUAGGUGGAGCGGUGAAAUGCGUAGAUAUCUAGAGGAACGCCAAAGGCGAAGGCAGGCAGCUGGGCCGAUUCUGACGCUCAGGUACGAAAGCGUGGGUAGCGAACGGGAUUAGAUACCCCGGUAGUCCACGCCCUAAACGAUGUGCACUAGAUCGGGGAGGUUCUGACACCAUCCCGGUCGAAGUUAAAAUAUUAAGUGCACCGCCUGGGGAGUACGGUCGCAAGGCUAAAACUCAAAGGAAUUGACGGGGGCUCACACAAGCGGUGGAGCAUGUGGCUUAAUUCGAAGCAACGCGAAGAACCUUAUCCAGGGUUUGACAUGGUUGGAUUAGCUUCUUGAAAGAGAAGUAACGCGGUUUCCGUGGAACAAUCACAGGUGCUGCAUGGCUGUCGUCAGCUCGUGCUGUGAAGUGUCGCGUUAAGUCGCUCAACGAGCGAAACCCCUGCCGUUAGUUGCCAGCGAGUCAUGUCGGGGACUCUAACGGGACUGCCGGUGUCAAACCGGAGGAAGGUGGGGAUGACGUCAAGUCCUCAUGGCCUUUAUGCCCUGGGCUGCACACGUGCUACAAUGGUGACCACAGAGCGACGCGAUACCGCAAGGUGGAGCAAAUCGCAAAAAAGUCACCUCAGUUCGGAUUGGGGUCUGCAACUCGACCCCAUGAAGUUGGAAUCGCUAGUAAUCGCGCAUCAGCUACGGCGCGGUGAAUGUGUUCCUGAGCAUUGUACACACCGCCCGUCAAGUCAUGGAAGCCGGGAGCACCCAAAGUCGCCAC